rnacentral:rRNA from 1 species
CAGUCGCCGCGGUAAUACGUAGGGUGCAAGCGUUAAUCGGAAUUACUGGGCGUAAAGCGUGCGCAGGCGGUUUGUUAAGACAGAUGUGAAAUCCCCGGGCUCAACCUGGGAACUGCAUUUGUGACUGGCAGGCUAGAGUAUGGCAGAGGGGGGUGGAAUUCCGCGUGUAGCAGUGAAAUGCGUAGAUAUGCGGAGGAACACCGAUGGCGAAGGCAGCCCCCUGGGCCAAUACUGACGCUCAUGCACGAAAGCGUGGGGAGCAAACAGGAUUAGAUACCCCUGUAGUCCCUGUCUCUUAUAC